rnacentral:sRNA from 1 species
GCUGGGUGCGGUGGUGCACACCUAUAAUCCUACCGCUCAGGAGGCUGAGGCAGGAGGAUCACAAGUUGGAGGCCAGCCUCAGCAAGUUAGCAAGGCCCUCAGCAACUUUAGUGAGACCCUGGAUCUA